GACGUAGGAGGCGAGCGUUAUCCGGAUUCACUGGGCGUAAAGCGCAUGUAGGUGGCUCGUCCCGUCGCCGGUGAAAGCCCCUGGCUUAACUGGGGGAGGUUCGGCGAAACUGACGGGCUUGAGGGCCGGAGAGGAAGGUGGAAUUCCCGGUGUAGCGGUGGAAUGCGUAGAGAUCGGGAGGAACACCAGUGGCGAAAGCGACCUUCUGGCCGGCGCCUGACACUGAGAUGCGAAAGCGUGGGGAGCAAACGGG
rnacentral:rRNA from 1 species